rnacentral:misc_RNA from 1 species
AACAAGGCGUACCUGCGGACCUGCGGAAGGAUCAUUACGAGAGUGUCACCACUCCCAACCCACUGUUUACCUACCCGUCCACCGUGCUUCGGCAGGCAGUCCUGUGGGACAGGGCCUCGCCCCCGCGAGGGGGUGCCUGCCGCUGGCCAACCAAAAAUUCUAGCUGUUUUUGUACCAUCUGAGUCUUCCACAAAUAAACAAAACUUUUAACAACGGAUCU